ensembl:ncRNA F42H10.9 ncRNA
UCAUGCAUACAAUAGCUCCUCAACCCAUAUAAAAGUGAAAAUACUCAGAGACACAGAGGGAAAUGAAUCAUAAAACAGUCGUGUAACGCCAUCUCGUUUGGCGGCGGCAACGGCAUCGAGAUGAUCGGUUGGUUAUGUAUUCAAAAAAAGGCAAAAGGCAAAUGUUUUCUAUACAAAAGAACGGAGAAAAUUGCAAUUUCGGUACUUUUUAGAUGUU